UGGGGAAUCUUAGACAAUGGGGGAAACCCUGAUCUAGCCAUGCCGCGUGAUCGAUGAAGGCCUUAGGGUUGUAAAGAUCUUUCAGCUGGGAAGAUAAUGACUGUACCAGCAGAAGAAGCCCCGGCUAACUCCGUGCCAGCAGCCGCGGUAAUACGGAGGGGGCUAGCGUUGUUCGGAAUUACUGGGCGUAAAGCGCACGUAGGCGGAACAGAAAGUCAGAGGUGAAAUCCCAGGGCUCAACCUUGGAACUGCCUUUGAAACUCCUGUUCUUGAGGUCGAGAGAGGUGAGUGGAAUUCCGAGUGUAGAGGUGAAAUUCGUAGAUAUUCGGAGGAACACCAGUGGCGAAGGCGGCUCACUGGCUCGAUACUGACGCUGAGGUGCGAAAGCGUGGGGAGCAAACAGG
rnacentral:rRNA from 1 species